rnacentral:rRNA from 1 species
GGUUCAGGAUGAACGCUAGCUACAGGCUUAACACAUGCAAGUCGAGGGGCAGCAGGACGAUAGCUUGCUAUUGUUGCUGGCGACCGGCGCACGGGUGAGUAACGCGUAUCCAACCUUCCCCUUAGUAGGGCAUAGCCCGGUGAAAAUCGGAUUAAUACCCUAUGUUGUGUCAUGAGGACAUCUGAAUAACACUAAAGAUUUAUCGCUAAGGGAUGGGGAUGCGUCCGAUUAGGUAGUCGGCGGGGUAACGGCCCACCGAGCCCUCGAUCGGUAGGGGUUCUGAGAGGAAGGUCCCCCCACACUGGUACUGAGACACGGACCAGACUCCUACGGGAGGCAGCAGUGAGGAAUAUUGGUCAAUGGGCGAGAGCCUGAACCAGCCAAGUAAGCGUGCAGGAUGACGGCCCUAUGGGUUGUAAACUGCUUUUAUACGGGGAUAAAGUGAGGGACGUGUCCCUUAUUGUAGGUACCGUAUGAAUAAGGACCGGCUAAUUCCGUGCCAGCCGCGGC